rnacentral:rRNA from 1 species
CCAGCAGCUGCGGUAAUUCCAGCUCCAAUAGCGUAUAUUUAAGUUGCUGCAGUUAAAAAGCUCGUAGUUGGAUUUCGGGUGGGGCCUGCCGGUCCGCCGUUUCGGCGUGCACUGGCCGGGCCCACCUUGCUGCCGGGGACGUGUUCCUGGGCUUCACUGUCCGGGACACGGAGUCGGCGAGGUUACUUUGAGUAAAUUAGAGUGUUCAAAGCAGGCCUACGCUCUGAAUACAUUAGCAUGGAAUAACACGAUAGGACUCUGGCCUAUCUUGUUGGUCUGUAGGACCGGAGUAAUGAUUAAUAGGGACAGUUGGGGGCAUUAGUAUUUCGUUGUCAGAGGUGAAAUUCUUGGAUUUACGAAAGACUAACUUAUGCGAAAGCAUUUGCCAAGGAUGUUUUCAUUAAUCAAGAACGAAAGU